GUAUCCCAGUCUCCAAACUAAUAUGCACUUAUUUCUGGAUUAAAUUCUGCAGAGGCAGUAGCCAGCUAAACUGCCCCUCUCCCACCUUGUGAAGCCUUUCAGAGGACCCUGGAGGAACAGAUUGUCAUUUUGUCUUCAGACUCGUUCACCAUCUAACCUCUCUAUUUAGACUGCCAAAUGAUGUCAAAGACAUCCUGUCAAAAGCCAAGAACUAUGAACACACAUUAAAUCUGAUGAAGUGAGAAGACUCCCAUUUUGAUAAUCCUUUUAUCUUCACUCUCCAACUAAAGUUAAGGAAGAAAGAACUAUUGGCAUUCAAUAAAGAAUGAUGGGAACCCCCGCUUUCACUUGCUCUGACCCCACAUAGGAAGAGAAUUGGAACCCAGAAUAAGACUGCAAUCUAUCUAGAGAUCUUCUUUGGAAGAGGGGAUAAAUGGGAAAAAGGAGUCUCAAAGAAAUGGUCUGUGGAGAAUUUCUGUCUUGAGAAGAUUUCCACAGGGAGCAGGGCUGAUAUUACUGGCUCAGCGCCUCAUGGUGAGUUACAGUUAUAAUGGGGACAGCAGGCUUCUAUAACUCUGUUUAAUAGAAAGCAGGGUACCAGCAGAGAUUUUCUAACUCUGCAUUUAAAAUCCCCCCAAUAGCUAUUAUUACUUCUUAAAACCAUUUGAGCAUUAGUGCCAAAUCAAGUGGAAUAGUUUUAUUUAAAUAAUUUAAGGGGCUGACUGAUAUUCUCACACUGACCAUAAUAAAUAAUAUUAUUAAUUUCAAGAGAGAGAGAAGGAUCAGAAUAUUGUGAUUUUGAUUUUCUUUCAACUGAAAAGUAUUUUGAAAAGGAUUAAAGAAACAGAUUUUCCUCCUCUGAGUUUGACUCCCUGUGUAUCCCACCUCUGGUCCUUUCAUAGAAACCCCCACCCAUUGUGUUUAGCCCCAUUUACCUGCCCCUGCAGGGAGGCGUCCUGUGGAGGGAAGUUUUAGUCUUCUGUGGAACAAGCUUAUUGAUCAGCAGGGUUUGCUCACUCAAGUGUAAGGACAUUCUGAUUCUUUUCCCUUGGGUUUUCUUUUCCUUCCUAAGAAAACUCUAUGAAGAAUUCUUUCACCCCUCUUAUUGUGUUUCCAGUCAAUCUUUCAUUUGAUAUGAUGUGAAAAAAAAA